CCUACACCUAGAGGCUUUGCAGGUAUGGCUACUGUUUCAUGUAUGUGUUAGUAGAUGGCAGAGAGGAGACAUACUGUGUCUAUGCUCAGUUUUCUAACCUAUGAACAUCUGAAUAAUUAGUAGUCUAAUCAU